rnacentral:rRNA from 1 species
CGUAGGGUGCGAGCGUUAAUCGGAAUUACUGGGCGUAAAGCGUGCGCAGGCGGUGAUGUAAGACAGAUGUGAAAUCCCCGGGCUUAACCUGGGAACUGCAUUUGUGACUGCAUCGCUGGAGUGCGGCAGAGGGGGAUGGAAUUCCGCGUGUAGCAGUGAAAUGCGUAGAUAUGCGGAGGAACACCGAUGGCGAAGGCAAUCCCCUGGGCCUGCACUGACGCUCAUGCACGAAAGCGUGGGGAGCAAACAGGAUUAGAUACCCUGGUAGUCCACGCCCUAAACGAUGUCAACUGGUUGUUGGGUCUUCACUGACUCAGUAACGAAGCUAACGCGUGAAGUUGACCGCCUGGGGAGUACGGCCGCAAGGUUG